rnacentral:rRNA from 1 species
UGAGGAAUAUUGAGCAAUGGGCGCAAGCCUGAUUCAGCAACGCCGCGUGGAUGAUGAAGGCCUUCGGGUUGUAAAAUCCUUUUCUGGGGGAAGAUAAUGACGGUACCCCAGGAAUAAGUUCCGGCUAACUACGUGCCAGCAGCCGCGGUAAAAAGUAGGGGACAAGCGUUAUCCGGAUUUACUGGGCGUAAAGCGCAGGUAGGUGGCACGGAAAGUUGGAUGUGAAAGCUCCCGGGUUAACUGGGAGAGGUCAUUCAAAACUACCGAGCUUGAGGAUGGAAGAGGAGAGCGGAAUUCCCGGUGUAGUGGUGGAAUGCGUAGAUAUCGGGAGGAACACCAGUGGCGAAAGCGGCUCUCUGGUUCGUGCCUGACACUGAGAUGCGAAAGCGUGGGGAGCGAACGGGAUUAGAUACCCCGGUAGUCCACGCCGUAAACGAUGGAUACUAGGUGUAGGAGGUCAUUAACCCCUUCUGUGCCGAAGCUAACGCGUUAAGUUCCCGCCUG